rnacentral:misc_RNA from 1 species
AUCGAGGCCUUCUUUGUGGAUGCUGUGUGGCAAAACAAGACCCACGUUGCGUCACUGCAGAGUUGUCGAAAGCGUCGCAUCAUCGACGCUUUCGCCUUCGCCGGACCUUCUUUUCUCGUUCUCCCUGUCUGCGAGUGUGCGAAGAGCUCUCCAAUACGAACCUGGGUACUCCUCCAUAUAUGCGCACACAAAGCAGAACACAACUCUCUAUCCUUCCUGCAUGUUCUCUGCUACUGGCCAUACUUCUUGUCGUCUCGCUUCCCUUUCUCGAACUCCGACUUAAUCACCGCUCAUCCACGCUAUGCUAGGCACGCAUGCUGCCCCCCGCAUUGACUCCGCAACAAAAACGAAGAGGGAUGCCACAUCUUGUAAGGCUGGUGCGCUCCUCACAGCGGGCUUUGCGUCAGCAGUAUCGCUCUGUCGAAGCAGCGGCAGUGGAGCGUCUUCGAUGGAUGCGGCACGAGCUCGUUCGCCUGUGCGGAUCGGAGAAUGACGUGCUGCGCUUCAAGCGCUUUCUGUUCUCGACACUCUACCUCGCGCUCAUCUUGGCUGUUACUACUGCCGCCGCGGCUGUCUGGCGGCCCAAUGCACCCCACUGCCACUACGUGUACUCCCAUAUCCACCCCGCGCGGCGUGCCGCGCUAGGGAAGAGGGAGCCCUUGCCGCAGCGCGACCCAGGUGAUCACCCCGAUGCCAACGCGGACCUGCAACGAAGUGUCAACGCAUACCUGUCGCAGCACAACGGCACGGACGGCGUAACGUACCUCCCCACUCGAAUUCACUUCAUCGUAGCCUCAAAUCAGACGGACUGGAGCUUCUGCAUGGUCACUGCGUCGUGUGCGCUCGCUGGUGUCCGGCUCAGCGUCCUUGGAGCGGAUAGUACCUACUCUCACGUCUGGCGCUAUGAGCACUACCUCGACUAUCUUGAUCGCGAGGGCUUGCGGGACGAGGACAUCGUCGUCACGUUGGACACCGACGUGGCGUGGACAGGAUCGGAUGUGGUGCCGUUCUUGCAGAAGUUUGCACGCUACUCGCCUGCCUCAGAGGCGGCUCUCGAUCUCGCCGCGGUGCGCGCCUGGGAGGACUACGGAGAGGAGGUCGGGUCCGCCUUUAUGGCUACUCUGCGCACCACACCCAACCAACAGCCGCGGCCGCUUGUGCAGCUGCCGCCCGUCAUCUUCAACGCGGACGACGAUUGCUACUAUCAUCAGCCAGUCGAUGGCCUCUUCCAGUGUUUCACCAGCGAUUACAUCACGACGCACCUCAUCGCAGCCGCUCGCAACGGCGCGUCCUUCUUUUCUCCCCACGACGCAGCCCGCGCAUCCAGGGAGGACUGGAAUUACUACAAGAACAUCUACGACGGCUUCUUCGCCCAGGGCCACGGGCAUCGCUUACUCAACACCUCGCUGGAGGCUGCGAACUUUCUGCGCACUCCCGGCGAUCGGUUCUUCUACGACGGCGCCUUCUCCGUCGGUCGCAACCCGGCGCACUAUCUCAACGCCGGCAUGCACAUCUCCCGCGUGUGGGCGCUCCGAGAGAUGGCCGCCGGCGUUCUCCGGUUCGCCAAGGAGCAGCAGCCUCGCGUGAAGCGGGAGUGGUUUUGCGAUCAGUCCAUCCUCGGCGUUCUGCGGUACUACUCACGCAUGUUCGAGGUCAAUGAGGGCCUUUUGCUUCAGACUGGGCACCGCGCAGACGGCCGACUGGUGCGCGACCCGUUUGGGCUGCCGGUUGGUCUCAUCUCUGUCGACCAACUCACGGAGUUCAUGUUCACUUCCCAUUUGCGGCGCCGGCAGAGGCUCGGCCAGCUCACUUCCUACUACACUCGCCAUCGCGAUGACGUGCUCUUUACGGUUCCUGACCGCGAUCUCAUCGCUGGCGCCUCGGGUGCCUUCAUCACGCCCCCACUGUGGGGUCGUGAGGUCCCGCCGCGGUGCCUCGACGUGACCUUACUAGACGGCUCGGUCUCCACUAGAUGCUCGGCUGCUCUCCGGCGGCACGUGCUUCCCUCCUUCCUACACUUCGCUGCCGGUAGCAAACGGCGGUACUAUUUGCGAUACCGUGAGUGGUUUGCCUGGUACUUCGCGGCUCGGCGCAGCUUCAAGGCGCUGUCGACUGCCAUGACGGUGUUGGACAAGUUGAAACUGGCGCUGUGGUGCAACGAAACAGUGCAGCAUAUUCCUUUCUUUGCCGUGUGCCCGAGCCCCUUUCACAGUCCCUGAGAUUUUCUGCCGGACUCGCGCAGCGAGGCGCGGUGGCCUGCCAUUGUCAGCAUCAAAGAAGCCCCUGCUGGGUAUACGCACUCGUGCCAUACCGUAAAGAGACGACCUUCUUUCAAAGCACGUACAUGCACGUCUAACAUGAAGGAAAAGAGUGACGUACAG